UUUUGUCAGUGGACCUUUUCGUCUCGUUAACCCUUGAAGUAAGCAGAAGGUUUACGGAUGCCUUAAUAAUUGAGUUCUUGUUCCUUGGACUUAUUCUUUUCAUUCAGUUGCUGCACGUUGGAUAUCAGGUUGUUCAAAUUUCUUCUUGAUUAAGCAGAUGAUCACAUUCGAAAUGACAGUUUGUGAUGAUUUUCAAAGUUGUGCCUAAUGAUAGGAGAUGACAUGUUGUGACACGGGAAAUCCUUUAUGAAGCUUCCCUAUAUUCUUUCCAAUUAUAGUGAAAGUGAUGUGCAAGGCUGAGAAGUGCUGGUUUAGCUCUUGUGAGGAAAAACAUUGCGAUGUGAAUAAGUGAAAGUGUUGUUCUAAUUGCGUGAGCGUGAUUUCAGUUAUGUCUGCAGCGCUAAACGAAAAGACUUUGCACACAUACAAAAAAAGGAACUUAUUAAUACAAACCCGCUCAGUUGCAAAGUACUUUCAAAUUAUCACCGAGGCAGAAUUAAUAAGUUGGUAUCGCUGUCUCCAUGUUCAGACUUUCAGAUAAUUGCAGGAGGGAAGAAUGCAUUUUCAAGUGUUAGAGGUCGUGUUUGAGUACGAAGACAAUUUUCGAUGAAAGCUGGAAAUUUUAUUGCUCUUCAGCGAACAAGUUGAGAUGGAACGAAGUCAGAGGACGUAGUAAACCCUUCAAGUGGAUUAUUAAAAUGGAUAUGGUUCAGAUGAUAGUCGAAAGGUUGCUCCCUUUUCAGCAUCAAUAUGGGGGCAGAUGGAGAAUUUCAUCGUUACUUCACCAAGUUGCCUAAUAAUUAAUAUGUUGGGAAUUAAAGCAAAGAAAUGGAAGGAAAACAUGUGACAUUGGAUUCAGGGAAUGGAGAGAUUUCAAUCGAAAAAUAUUUUUUUUUUUAUUUUUUUAAUAAUAUAAUUUAAACGUACUUUUUUAUAAUAUAUUGCAAAUAUACUAUCAAAAUCACAGAUUUAAAUUCAAAGUAUUUAUGAAGUUAUAGUGCAAAGAAUGGAGCUCGACGCAGUUGGUAUAGAAUCGGCCAAAUAGCCGGUACCAGCCGCUUCAAUCGUUGCUGGAUCCUAUAUUGUUAUACUCAGCUGAUUUAGAUCUAUGCGCUAUGCAAAAAUAUGGACUGUUAGAAAGUAAGAAUUUCACACAGUAUAAGAGACAGAAAUUGGAAACAUUAAGUAUUGUUAUGAAAAAUCAAUUGUCAAAAUUUUAAAGGCGUUUUACUUGAAACUACAUUUUCGGGGAAGUACUCGCAAAAAACCACCACCACCAACUUAUUUAUUUGAAAUUUGAAACUCCAAUUUACAUGGCCAUGCCGGCAUUUGGGAUUUAAAAUAUAUACUUUUUUUCAACAAUUUAACAUAAAAAACGCGAUUUUGAAUGUCACA